rnacentral:tRNA from 1 species
UUUAAAGUAGCAAAAUUUUGCAUUAAAUUUAGAAUUUAAUAUUUAAUUUUUUAAUA